rnacentral:rRNA from 1 species
CCUACGGGAGGCAGCAGUGAGGAAUAUUGGUCAAUGGGCGGGAGCCUGAACCAGCCAAGCCGCGUGAGGGAAGAAGGUACAGCGUAUCGUAAACCUCUUUUGUCAGGGAACAAAGGCGGGGACUAGUCCCCGGAUGAGGGUAUCUGAAGAAAAAGCAUCGGCUAACUCCGUGCCAGCAGCCGCGGUAAUCGGGGGGAUGCGAGCGUUACCCGGUUUUAUUUGGUUUAAAGGGUGCGCAGGCGGCCUGUUAAGUCAGCGGUAAAAGGACGGGGAUAAACCACGGCGAGCCGUUGAAACUGGCGGGCUGGAGUUGGAGAGAAGUAGGCGGAAUGCGCGGUGUAGCGGUGAAAUGCUUAGAUAUCGCGCAGAACCCCGAUUGCGAAGGCAGCGUACCGGCUCCACACUGACGCUGAGGCACGAAAGCGUGGGUAUCGAACAGGAGUAGAUACCCCGGUAGUC